rnacentral:rRNA from 1 species
CAGUCGCCGCGUAAUACGGAAGAUCCAAGCGUUAUCCGGAUUUAUUGGGCUUAAAGGGUGCGUAGGUGGCCUGUUAAGUCAGGGGUGAAAGACGGUAGCUCAACUAUCGCAGUGCCUUUGAUACUGACGGGCUUGAAUGAACUAGAGGUAGGCGGAAUGUGACAAGUAGCGGUGAAAUGCAUAGAUAUGUCACAGAACACCAAUUGCGAAGGCAGCUUACUAUGGUUUUAUUGACACUGAGGCACGAAAGCGUGGGGAUCAAACAGGAUUAGAUACCCCUGUAGUCCCUGUCUCUUAUACA